UGGGCGUUAAGUUGCAGGGUAUAGACCCGAAACCCGGUGAUCUAGCCAUGGGCAGGUUGAAGGUUGGGUAACACUAACUGGAGGACCGAACCGACUAAUGUUGAAAAAUUAGCGGAUGACCUGUGGCUGGGGGUGAAAGGCCAAUCAAACCGGGAGAUAGCUGGUUCUCCCCGAAAGCUAUUUAGGUAGCGCCUCGUGAAUUCAUCUCCGGGGGUAGAGCACUGUUUCGGCUAGGGGGCCAUCCCGGCUUACCAACCCGAUGCAAACUGCGAAUACCGGAGAAUGUUAUCACGGGAGACACACGGCGGGUGCUAACGUCCGUCGUGAAGAGGGAAACAACCCAGACCGCCAGCUAAGGUCCCAAAGUCAUGGUUAAGUGGGAAACGAUGUGGGAAGGCCCAGACAGCCAGGAUGUUGGCUUAGAAGCAGCCAUCAUUUAAAGAAAGCGUAAUAGCUCACUGGUCGAGUCGGCCUGCGCGGAAGAUGUAACGGGGCUAAACCAUGCACCGAAGCUGCGGCAGCGACACUGUGUGUUGUUGGGUAGGGGAGCGUUCUGUAAGCCUGCGAAGGUGGCCUGUGAGGGUUGCUGGAGGUAUCAGAAGUGCGAAUGCUGACAUAAGUAACGAUAAAGCGGGUGAAAAGCCCGCUCGCCGGAAGACCAAGGGUUCCUGUCCAACGUUAAUCGGGGCAGGGUGAGUCGACCCCUAAGGCGAGGCCGAAAGGCGUAGUCGAUGGGAAACGGGUUAAUAUUCCCGUACUUGGUGUUACUGCGAAGGGGGGACGGAGAAGGCUAUGUUGGCCGGGCGACGGUUGUCCCGGUUUAAGCGUGUAGGUGUGUGUUCCAGGUAAAUCCGGUUCACUUUAACACUGAGGCGUGACGACGAGGCACUACGGUGCUGAAGCAACAAAUGCCCUGCUUCCAGGAAAAGCCUCUAAGCAUCAGGUAACAUCAAAUCGUACCCCAAACCGACACAGGUGGUCAGGUAGAGAAUACCAAGGCGCUUGAGAGAACUCGGGUGAAGGAACUAGGCAAAAUGGUGCCGUAACUUCGGGAGAAGGCACGCUGACACGUAGGUGAAGUGAUUUACUCAUGGAGCUGAAGUCAGUCGAAGAUACCAGCUGGCUGCAACUGUUUAUUAAAAACACAGCACUGUGCAAACACGAAAGUGGACGUAUACGGUGUGACGCCUGCCCGGUGCCGGAAGGUUAAUUGAUGGGGUCAGCGCAAGCGAAGCUCCUGAUCGAAGCCCCGGUAAACGGCGGCCGUAACUAUAACGGUCCUAAGGUAGCGAAAUUCCUUGUCGGGUAAGUUCCGACCUGCACGAAUGGCGUAAUGAUGGCCAGGCUGUCUCCACCCGAGACUCAGUGAAAUUGAACUCGCUGUGAAGAUGCAGUGUACCCGCGGCAAGACGGAAAGACCCCGUGAACCUUUACUAUAGCUUGACACUGAACAUUGAGCCUUGAUGUGUAGGAUAGGUGGGAGGCUUUGAAGUGUGGACGCCAGUCUGCAUGGAGCCGACCUUGAAAUACCACCCUUUAAUGUUUGAUGUUCUAACGUGGACCCGUUACCCGGGUUGCGGACAGUGUCUGGUGGGUAGUUUGACUGGGGCGGUCUCCUCCUAAAGAGUAACGGAGGAGCACGAAGGUUGGCUAAUCCUGGUCGGACAUCAGGAGGUUAGUGCAAUGGCAUAAGCCAGCUUGACUGCGAGCGUGACGGCGCGAGCAGGUGCGAAAGCAGGUCAUAGUGAUCCGGUGGUUCUGAAUGGAAGGGCCAUCGCUCAACGGAUAAAAGGUACUCCGGGGAUAACAGGCUGAUACCGCCCAAGAGUUCAUAUCGACGGCGGUGUUUGGCACCUCGAUGUCGGCUCAUCACAUCCUGGGGCUGAAGUAGGUCCCAAGGGUAUGGCUGUUCGCCAUUUAAAGUGGUACGCGAGCUGGGUUUAGAACGUCGUGAGACAGUUCGGUCCCUAUCUGCCGUGGGCGCUGGAGAACUGAGGGGGGCUGCUCCUAGUACGAGAGGACCGGAGUGGACGCAUCACUGGUGUUCGGGUUGUCAUGCCAAUGGCACUGCCCGGUAGCUAAAUGCGGAAGAGAUAAGUGCUGAAAGCAUCUAAGCACGAAACUUGCCCCGAGAUGAGUUCUCCCUGAGACUUAGAGUCUCCUGAAGGAACGUUGAAGACGACGACGUUGAUAGGCCGGGUGUGUAAGCGCAGCGAUGCGUUGAGCUAACCGGUACUAAUGAACCGUGAGGCUUAACCUUACAACGCCGAAG
rnacentral:rRNA from 1 species